GGAGUUGUGGUUCAGUUGGUAGAGCACUUGCAUAGCAUGCAUGAGGCCCUGGGUUUGAUCCCCAGCACCA
rnacentral:tRNA from 2 species